GCCGCCUCCUUCCCACAAUGCACCCUGGCGCCCGGGGGUGCCCUCUCUUCCCUCAGCCUUCCUUCCCCGCCCCCUCCUUUCCGCCGACUUCUGCGCGGGCGGGCACGCGCAAGGAAGCGCGCUUGCUCGGGUGUGGCGAGGCGGAGGCGGGGCCUGGCGUGGGUUGCCGCAGUGCGCCUGCGCACGGCCUACCCAGGAUGGGAGGGAAUGGCGCAUGCGGGCGUGUCUCCCGGGACUCUACAGCAGGCGAACCCCCGGCUCCUCCGGUAGGUUUGGCGUGCGCGGCUUUCCGCAGAUCUGGAGCGAGCUUGCACGUUGUAUCAUCGGUGCAUCGCUUCUUGCUUGCUUAAGUUGCCACCGCAUAGGCUUCUGCUGCAGAAAUCGCCAUAGACUUUUAAGGGCCGCGGAACCGGACUACCUUGGUGACUCAUUUGCACACCCCCAGCAUAUCUGCGUGCAUUAGUUGGACGCAGACGUAAGUUGUUGGAGAUUUCAUUAUCCCCAGCUUUGCAGCCACUCUCUGGCCCCCGCAUCAGCUUCUAGACUGGAAGCCGAGGGGCUAAAACUCAGAAAAGCAAUGACUCUUCCGUGAUGAGGCUUCCAGAGGAGCAAGAAUAGCGACAUGAUUCCACCUGCAGCCCUCUAGAGAAUAGUUCUCCUGUCUUCCCCUCACAGUAGUGGACUUUUAACGUUCUUGUAUUGUUUAAGUGAUAAAAUGAGCGACCGCUAUCUAGAACAAAGGAUUAGUAUCAAAUUCUGCGUGAAAUUGAACAAGUCUGCAAGUGAGACCCACCAUCUUUUAAAAGAAGCUUAUGGGAAUGAAGUCAUGUCAAGGGCCAGAGUCUUUGACUGGCACAAGAGGUUUAAAGAAGGGCGGGAAGAUGUUCGAGAUGAUGCCCGAAGUGGUCGUCCAGUCACCCACCGGACGGAUGAAAACAUCCAGAAGGUCAAGGACUUGGUUUGUUCAAAUAGGCAGUUAACUGUGAGGAUGAUGGCUGAAGAGUUAAAUUUAGAUAAAGAAACCGUUAGACUCAUCCUGAAAGAAAACUUGAAUAUGAAGAAAGUUUCCGCAAAAGUUGCAUCGGGUAUUUUAAAGGAUGAACCUAAACCUCGAAAACUUGACUUUCGGUCUGAUCUUUCAAAGGAAACUAAGAAAAAGAGCUCAUGUGUGAGGAGAAAGGUAACAAGUUCUGAAACGUGGAGUCAUCUCCAGUGCGAAGCUGCUGGGGAAAUAACUGUGCCUGUAUCCCAUCCCAAAAUCCAUCAUCCUGCCAGCCAGCUGCUGCAGGCUUCAUCUUCAACAAGCCUUCCCGCCAGGGCAGCUCAGGAUUGGUUCACUCCGUGGUGAAAGGAAUGUGGGGUGGCCCCACCCCACCUAGAAAGCUGCCUCACACUUAGGCACCUUCAUUUGCUGCUCAUCUAUUUUCAGCUUCUUUACCACUCCUCCCUCUUCCCUCCAUGUUAUGGCCCUCCUGUUCACUCUUUGCUGGACUCGGGCCAUCUUCCUUGCUGUUCUCCACACUUUGAAGAACUUUUGGCUGUUGACUUCUGGUCCUUGCUUGUACUUAAUUUUUUUUUAAUUUUUUAAUUUUUUAUUUUAUUUUUUUUAUUAUUUUUUUUUGUUUGUUUAACAAGUUUGGAUCUCUUCACUGUCCAGACCUUAGUUUGUUAUGGCUGUCCUCUUCCUUUGUUCUCAAUAUUCUGCCUCAGGGGAUCAUACCAAUGAAAGGUGGGAGCAGGACCUUUUGGAGUCUCUGUGCACAGGGAGGCAUACUCUUCUGGGAGGACCCAAAAGAAAGCCUACAGUUCCAGCCUGCUCCACAGUCAGGGCCUGAGGUAUGGUACAGAAAGCAGUGGCAUGCUGACAUAGGGAGCAAUGCUAAGAGCAGAUGCAGCCCAAAUGACUCUGGGAGCCCCCAGAACUCAGGGUUGGCCACCCCUUACUGAUCUCACAGACCUACCCCGACAGAAGUGCUAGGUUUGUUCAUUCUAGUCUUGCACUUUGGACCCCCAAGACUCAUUUGGGUGUAUCCCCUCUGCUGGAGGGGAAGGAUCUGGCCCCAGAAAAUGUAAACCAGGGGAUUUGGGCCCAGGCUGUGAUGUAUGAGGAGAAAGACUAACACCCUAGACCUUGAAUUAAGGGAGCUCACUGCCUACGUGCUGGUGCCCACACAGCAGCCUGUUUUUGGUAACUCACAUCAACAUUGUCAGGUGUUUUUCUGAGCACUGACAGUUUUUAGAACACUGCUGAGCAUUGACAGUGUGAGGCUGUGAAAUAAGAUUACCAAGGGCUGGGUAGACUUCAUGGAUGAUGUGGUUCCUAGACUGGAUCCAUAAGGAAGGAUGAGGCUAGGGGGCUAGGAAAUUAGGGAAGCUUCCCAGGCAGGUGGAACAGUGUGAGGCUGCAAACCUGCCUCAGCAGGAAAAUGAUGGCACUAUUGGCUGAAAUAGCAAAAUCUAAAGAGGAAGAUAAUGGUGUUGCAGAAGGUGAACAGUUUGGAGUAAUUUGCUUCCACUCUUCUGCCGCCAACUCUAUGCUAGUAGUUUAUAAAUUGCUUCCCCCUGAGUCUGUGGAUAGGUUUAUAAUAACCACUUAUUUGAUUAUCUAAUUCUCUCAUCAAACCCUCAAAAAGCAUUCUCUACUGGUUCAAAAUCCUUUAUCUCUCCCUGGCUCUCUGCCAGGAUUUAUGGAAUGAAACUUUUCGCAAGUGGGUUCCAAGUAAUACCACAUAGACUAGAAACAUCUUAGAAUGCCUAAUGGAGGGGGGUGUGUGUGUGUUGGGUGGGGGUGGGGGUGGAAGAUGGUUAGUAACAGCAUUUCGCAGGAUUGGCCAAUGUCUAUGUUUUAACCCAAGGAUUUUUACAUGUAGCAGCUCCUAUUUAACUGGUAAGUUAGUAAAAAAUAUUGGUUGAUCAUAGAGGCCCAACAUUUAUUCAGCAAGUUAUUCUUAGUUCUGUUCUUUCACUAUCUCUAUUGCCUUCAAAAAAUUACUAAUACCUGUCAGCUUUGAUGUUCCCUGAAACCUAGAGCUUAUCCCACAAAUAGAAGAUACUGUGCAAGAAAACUCAAACCAACAAUGGCUCACAGACUUCUGCCUACUUAGCAAUUUGUAGAUAUUUCAUCUCAAUUCUUACAUCUUCCUACAUCAGAUGAGGCCCUGGGUUCCCCACUGCUGAAAGCCCUCAUGGCUGGCAGCUUUGUGGCUGAACAUAAUAAUCGUCACUCAGCCCGGGGGGAAGCGGAGGGGUAACUGUUGCAGAAUUGUAUGCUCCUACGCCUUGAGCAAGUUCCCACAACAGUACCUAUAGGCAUUAUCUCCAAUCUUUGAUAACACAGAGGCCCUGAAAGAAUUUAUUUCUGGAUCUAUUCCUGUCCUGUGAACAGAGCUGGAGUGACCCUUCCAAAGAUACUAGACCAAGACCAUGCUGGAGGGUAGGGUACCAGAAGCAAUGUUGUCCCAGACAGGGUUUGGACACAAAGCAACUGGAAGCAGGUAAUCAGAAGGGUGAAUUUAAAUUGUUCCAAGUAGCCAUAAUGAAAAAGACUUAGUUUAUUACCUUAAAUCAUGCCCUGUGUGGUAGUCAGGUCACACUUCUACCUGAACCCAUUAUCCAUUUUGCUUCCCAGAAAAUAUUCAAUGAGAUGAUAAUACACCCUAAGAAGCCUCAAGUUUGAGAGAAAUUAAAAAUACUCAUUCAAAGCAGUCCAUUCACAUGUGGCUGCUCGGAAUCUCUCCACCCCAGGUUAGAGCAUGAUCUCCAUAUGCCCAAACAAGAGAGUUCUGUAACAGUACCCCGUAUGUGCCCAACACCCAAAUCCAUUUUAUUUCUGACCCUUUAUUUUGCCAGCAUCUUGCUCCCUAGACCUCUAGAGUGUCUAAUCCUGUAAUCUCAGGGAUCUACCCAUCAUCAUGCCUCAGGCCCUUGUCCUUGGCUUUUUCAGAUAUCACACGGUUUAUUCUUAACUGGUUUGUUCUUGUUCCUCUGUUUCCCUGAGCUUUGUUUUCUAGUUCUAGACCACACUCUCCAAUAGCUGCUUUUGGCCACUUGGGUGUGCUGAUCUUGAAUUGCCCUUUUGCCUGUGAUUUUCCACUCAACUGCAACUCCUCUCCUGGUUUCCGUGUCCCUCUCCCGACUCCCCACUUAGGCCCUAUAGUCUUGACUACGGAAAUUGUCUGCUCCAUUGCUGGCCCCGGUUGCCUUCCUGUCCUUAAAAAGUAGGGUGGGAUAACAUAGGGGAAUGUGUUCAUGUUUUUUAUUAUUAUUAUUAUUUUUUUAAUGGAGGUAUUGGGAAUCAAACCCAAAACCUCGUGCAUGCUAAGCACUCUAUCACUGAGCCAUACCCACCCCUCCUUGUUUUAUUAUUAUUAUUAUUAUUAUUAUUAUUAUUAUUAUUAUUAUUAUUAUUAUUAUUAUUAGACACAUAGAGAAGGAACAAAAAUCUCCCUUUCACCCUUAGCCACCAGGGACUCCACUCCCCAGAGGUAACCAUUAUUACUAAUUUCUUGAGGCAAUUUGGUUACCUCUGGUCCUCAGGAGUCAUGAAAGUUUUUCAGAGAUAUAAUAUCCAAAUCCCAUUCUCCCAGCAACUGUAUUUACCCUGGCGGAAGAAGCUCCAUCUAACCAUAGGAGAUGAAGCCUGGCUCCCUGUAGGGCAUCUGGAGGAGCGCUGGCUCUCUGCAGACCUUUACCAUAAAUCUCAAGCUCAACACACAGUCAAGGAAUCUCUGGCUUUCAGGCUGAUCUUCCUCUUCCCCAUUCUGGUUCACAAACCACAGGGAAUGUUAUAUACCACAGCUGGGAGUUCUGGGGGGAAUAAGCACCUUCCAGGGCAGAUCAUCCCAUCAUUGAGUUUAUCCAAUCCUUUCUCUACCCAUUACCCCACCUUCCACCUGUCCCACUGUUAGUGGUCUAAACCAGAAUAAAAUGUUUACCAAUCUUUGAUUUCAAAAAACAUAUGGAUAGUUCUCCAGUCUUCUGAAUUCUGCCCCUGGCUCUGAGUUCUUACUGAAAUCUUGUUGUUUGCCAAGAAUGUGUACCCGGGGCCUGCUUUCCAGAGUCUUCCUUUCAGAUCCAUUUCUUAGAGUUCAGAGUUGCCAUUGGAGAUGGCUGGAUAAAUCUGGAUGCUAAAUGACUUGAGGAUGUGUACUAAAGGAACAGGGUACUGUUGGGAUUGUCACCGUAUCACAUGUCCUGGUCAGCCAACUUGCUGUUUGCAGACAUCAUUGCCAGUAAGUCUCAUUAGGCUCCUUGGAAUUGGUCAUUAUGUCCUAUGUGGCUCAGUUAGUAAGAGUCUUUUUGCUGCUGGAAUUGUAUAUGUAACCCUGCGUUCUCCAACUGCUUCUUAGUUGGAGCAGUCCUCUAAGAUUUUACCAAAGUCUCACACCCUAUCUGAGGCCGCUUUCUUGUAUUUAUGUUCUCUAGUCUCUGCCUUAUCAGAUCCUUGCAAAUGCUGUCCCAGUUGCAUCACCCUUCUCCUAGUAUUAAUAACCAGAGACAAAAAAUCUUCGGUGGGAAACUUCAGUAUCUCCAAGGACCCACUUGGAUUUAGUGAAGAGAAUAAAACAAUAGCACCAAAAGUUGGCAAUGGAGAGAAUGGGGCCAAACCACUAAUUUGGCCCAGAAACAAUUAGCUGACUGGGUCAACAUGGAGACUGCAUGAUACUACUAUGUUGGUAGCAGGAAUGGGACAGAAAGGAAAAGGGCCUUCCUGAAAGGAGAGGGCUAUGUGACCAGAAUCCCUGCAAAAAAAAACUCAAGUGUUAUAAGAAGAUACCACGCAUGGUAUGAGAAGACACCACAGGUGGCAUGUUCCUGCUACGUGGUCCUAGGGAGGUAAAGGAGCACGUGUGGUUCAAGUAUAUUCUGACAAAUGGGAAAGGAUUUGAAAUACUCUCCUGGGUAAAAUUAACCUUGUUCUUGCAUUCUCUCAUACAAAAUGAAUAUUCCUGAGAUGGAUUUUAUUGCAACUGACUUUCUGAAGAAUCCUUGAGCCUUCCAUAUAAUUUCUUUAGGAUAGGAAUGGCUUUCAAUGUACCAAGUCUACCUCCUCCCAUAGUGAAACAUUCAAACAACAUGGUAUACACGGGAAUACUUGGUAUUCCAUACUGAGGAUGCCACAAGCAUAUCAGUAGUCACCUUAGUAUUGUAACUUGCAAAACUCUUAAGGUUUGCAAAUGUUAUUUUGUUGGUGUCCAGAAUGACUGUGCUUUUAUUUAUAUCUGAAAAGUAGUCAUGUCACGGGAUUUUAAAGUGAGAAAUGAUGUAGAUAAUGCCUAUCUAUCCAUAGAUGAAAUUGUUGUUGGGAAAAUGUUUCUUUCACCAUUACUUUAGCAAAAUGUUUAUCAUUAAAAUGCCAAAUAUAUCUCCUCAGUGGAAUUUCAGACUUUCCAAGGAGUACACAGGUAAAUACAUGUUUUACAGGCAUGUAGGUUAUAGGCUUGUUGAGCUAGAAGAGUCCUUCAAGGUCUGAAUCUCUUGGUCUAUAGAAAGAACAAAAGAGUGAGAUUGGGGUUUUAAUCCUGCUCCUUAACAAGCCAUGUGACUUUGGGCAGUUCAUUUGUACCUGUGGAACACUUCAGGUUACUCGUCUAUGAAAGGGGAAUAAUAAAACCUGUCUCAUGGAGUUGUUCAUUUUGUCCUUUCAACAAAUGUUUAUUGAUUGCUUAUAUGUGGCUGACCUAUUCUACACACUGAGGAUAUAACAGUGAACAAGAUUUAAAAAAAGUUCUUCUUGAGCUUACAUUUAAGUGUGGAAGACAGACAAGAAAUAAGACAGAUGUAUGUUAGAUAGUGAUUAUUAGAUGUGAGGCUUGCAUUAAAAUAAUGUAUAUGAGGUGACCAGCACAAACUCUGGCGUGUAGUAAGUAUUCAAUAGAUAGUAAUUCCCUUUGCUUCUUCAGUCUUCCUAACAGCUCCUGAGUUAGUCUACAGCAUGGUAGUGAUCAGCAGAAGGCCUGACUCCUUGCCUUCAACUUCUCACCAGUUAAUAAGGCCUAAACCUAUUUUGUUUAAGAUGACAAAAGUAUUCUUACCGGUGUGUUUUGCACUUUCUAUAUGGCAGAUUAAUAAAGGCGGUGCCUAAACACUGUUGAUAAAUGGCCUUUUCUGAAGCCAGUUGGCAAAGGCCCCUGCCUGGAGCUAGAUGGCAUCCAACCACAAGGACAAAUGCAUGAUUUCUUUGCUGUUUAAGCUGAACAGACCAGGAAACUGUACUGGCUGCUUCUCUUAAAAGAUGUGUGACCUGUGUCCUGUUCCAAACACAAGAACUGGGCAAAGUUUGCAUUAUUUCUGGGAGACCAGGGCAUUGACUAAAAGCCAGGAAAAAGAGGGUUUAAUGCUUGUGGUUGCUAUAUAUUUUUGCCCAUUGUAGAAAAUUUGGGCAGUUCAGAAAUGUUUAAAGAAGCCAAAAGUUCAGCAUUUCACCAGACCCAUCUCUCUGCCUCAGCUUCAUCCUCCAGAAACAUCCAGUGAAUAGUCAUUUGCUGAAUUCCCUCUUUAGACCAUCACAGUUGGGACGAUUGUGGGAAUGAGAAAGUGGAGCAUAAGGAGGCAAAAUACACAAAGCAGUGGUAACUGGCCUGCUGGCCUGGCCAUCCCUCGCUCCUCUUAUUAAAAGGGCCCUGAGUUCUGUCCUCAAGGAUUCAGUCAGUGCAGUGUUAGCUCACAGAAGAAAGUGGACAUGAGGCUGUAGGCCAGUACCCCUGUACCUUAUUUUAAGGACUUAAUAAGUGAAAAUUCAGAAUUACAACCCAGAUAGAUAAGGAAAUGGGCCCAGGGAGGUUGAGUGAAUUUUCUUGAAUCACACAUCUAAGUGGUGGGAAAGCCAGGAUAAUAAUGAAGGACCUUGAAUUUCACUCAGUCCAGUGAUUUUUUUUUCCAUUAUUCUGUUGGUAAUAAUUUCCUUUACUAAAUUGUGCAUUCUUAAGAUAACUUUAAAAUAAUGGUCACCUUGGCAUUUGAUAAACAUGAUUUACCAACAAUUGAUUCACAUGCAAUUUGGAGGGAAUGUAUUUAUGGCAAAGAAGGUGAUGCAAAAGUUUUUCCAAGAUCCCUGGGGUGCCCAGGCCCCUGGUCCUUCUCCCAGAGGUGUGUAUUCAUAAGUAAAUGUUGGCAUUCUGUCAUUCAUUUUUUUCCAGAUGUUCUUCCCAAGUAGUGUGUUAUGUCUUGUGUUUUUAAUAUUUCUCGUAUACAUUUAAAAAAAUCUGGGCACAUAAAUCCUAAUAAAGUUCUCAGCUAUCUCCUCUA